CCUACGGGAGGCAGCAGUGAGGAAUAUUGGUCAAUGGGCGCGAGCCUGAACCAGCCAAGUAGCGUGAAGGAUGACUGCCCUACGGGUUGUAAACUUCUUUUAUAAAGGAAUAAAGUGAGGCACGUGUGCCUUUUUGUAUGUACUUUAUGAAUAAGGAUCGGCUAACUCCGUGCCAGCAGCCGCGGUAAUACGGAGGAUCCGAGCGUUAUCCGGAUUUAUUGGGUUUAAAGGGAGCGUAGAUGGGUUGUUAAGUCAGUUGUGAAAGUUUGCGGCUCAACCGUAAAAUUGCAAUUGAUACUGGCAGUCUUGAGUGGGCGAGAAGUAUGCGGAAGGCGUGGUGGAGCGGUGAAAUGCAUAGAUAUCACGCAGAACUCCGAUUGCGAAGGCAGCAUACCGGCGCCCAACUGACGCUGAAGCACGAAAGCGUGGGUAUCGAACAGGAUUAGAUACCCCGGUAGUC
rnacentral:rRNA from 1 species